UGGUGCCUGCACACAGGCACUUCCCCCUAAAAGAAGCAGUCUGCAGAGCAGGGGAGACAAAGGGACAAUUCGGGACAAACAAGCUCUCUAUAAACAGAUACUCUCCAAUUAAACGAUAAGAUAGUGAAUGGAUCUCCUUUGACAGAAAAAUACGAAAAGUCCUGUACUUGGCAGAUUUAAUGAAUCAGCGAAUUGUUUCUGCAACCAUCUGAGUCUCUCCCACAGGAAUCUGUGUGUGAAGGAGAAAAAAUGUCCACUUCACAGUUGUGGAAGUGGAGGCUUGCAAAAGCCCAGAUAACAGAAGUCUAAGCAGUCAGCUGAACGCCCGUGGUUCCAUCUGGCAAUCUUCUUUCAAACCAGAUGGUGGCGCUGUCCUGGGAGGUUGUGACACCGGGAGGUGAUUGAGCCAAGCUGGAGGAGAUAAGCUCUCUCAGUCUCUGUUCCUGGAAAGGUUAUACCGAGGUAUGCAUUGCUGCUGACUCUUCUAGACAUUUCCACACACGCACACGCUUGUGUGCAUGUUACCUGUGGUUAUCUGACAGACCCGUGGUUCCACGUGGUGAUGAUGGGAUUGGGCAAGAGGAGGCAAACAGCGGCAGUGAAGAGUGAGAGCGCGCCCUGAGCACAGCCAGUGUCUGCUGCACGUCAUCACCCAGAGUCCGGUGUCUUACCAUUUAAUUCUGCAAUGAUUAUGUAACAAGGAAAAGUUACUCUGUUUACCCGGA